GGACUACAGGGGUAUCUAAUCCUGUUUGCUCCCCUAGCUUUCGUGCCUCAGUGUCAGGUGUUUUCCAGGGACUCGCCUUCGCCACUGGUGUUCCUCUCGAUAUCUACGCAUUUCACUGCUACACCGAGAAUUCCAGUCCCCCCUCAAAACCUCAAGCAAGGUAGUUUCCAAUGCCAUUUCCGGGUUGAGCCCGGAGAUUUCACAUCCGACUUACCUCACCACCUACGCACCCUUUACGCCCAGUGAAUCCGAACAACGCUCGGGACCUCUGUAUUACCGCGGCUGCUGGCAC
rnacentral:rRNA from 2 species